GGGUUGUGAGGUUAAGCGACUAAGCGUACACGGUGGAUGCCCUGGCAGUCAGAGGCGAUGAAGGGCGUGCUAAUCUGCGAUAAGCGCCGGUAAGGUGAUAUGAACCGUUAUAACCGGCGAUACCCGAAUGGGGAAACCCAGUGUGACUCGUCACACUAUCAUUAACUGAAUCCAUAGGUUAAUGAGGCGAACCGGGGGAACUGAAACAUCUAAGUACCCCGAGGAAAAGAAAUCAACCGAGAUUCCCCCAGUAGCGGCGAGCGAACGGGGAGGAGCCCAGAGCCUGAAUCAGCAUGUGUGUUAGUGGAAGCGUCUGGAAAGGCGCGCGAUACAGGGUGACAGCCCCGUACACAAAAGCGCAUGUGCUGUGAGCUCGAUGAGUAGGGCGGGACACGUGGUAUCCUGUCUGAAUAUGGGGGGACCAUCCUCCAAGGCUAAAUACUCCUGACUGACCGAUAGUGAACCAGUACCGUGAGGGAAAGGCGAAAAGAACCCCGGCGAGGGGAGUGAAAAAGAACCUGAAACCGUGUACGUACAAGCAGUGGGAGCCCCACCACCAAAGCAUUUGCUGUACCGCGUUGACGGAGCGAAGCGACGUCAAACCGAUAAAACAGCAGUGUAAAGUGAGCCGCAGGGCGCUUUGCGCGACAGCGCAAAGGCAGGCGGUUUCGCGUAGCGAAAGCGAAUGCUUUGGGGUGGGGUGACUGCGUACCUUUUGUAUAAUGGGUCAGCGACUUAUAUUCUGUAGCAAGGUUAACCGAAUAGGGGAGCCGGAGGGAAACCGAGUCUUAACCGGGCGUUAAGUUGCAGGGUAUAGACCCGAAACCCGGUGAUCUAGCCAUGGGC
rnacentral:rRNA from 1 species